UACGAAGGGGGCGAGCGUUGUUCGGAGUUACUGGGCGUAAAGGGCGCGUAGGCGGCCUUCUAAGUCGAACGUGAAAUCCCCGGGCUCAACCCGGGAACUGCGUCCGAUACUGGAAGGCUUGAAUCCGGGAGAGGGAUGCGGAAUUCCAGGUGUAGCGGUGAAAUGCGUAGAUAUCUGGAGGAACACCGGUGGCGAAGGCGGCAUCCUGGACCGGCAUUGACGCUGAGGCGCGAAAGCCAGGGGAGCAAACGGG
rnacentral:rRNA from 1 species